CCUACGGGUGGCAGCAGUAGGGAAUAUUGCUCAAUGGGGGAAACCCUGAAGCAGCAACGCCGCGUGGAGGAUGAAGGUUUUCGGAUUGUAAACUCCUUUUGUUAGAGAAGAUAAUGACGUUAUCUAACGAAUAAGCACCGGCUCACUCCGUUCCAGCCGCCGCGGUAAUACGGAGGGUGCCAGCGUUACUCGGAAUCACGGGGCGUUAAGAGCGCGUAUGCGGGAUAGCAAGUCAGAUGUUAAAUCAUAUGGCUUAACCAUAGAACUGCAUUUGAAACUGUUAUUCUAGAGUAUGGGAGAGGUAGGUGGAAUUCGUGGUGUAGGGGUAAAAUCCGUAGAGAUCAAGAGGAAGACUCAUUGCGAAGGCGACCUGCUAGAACAUAACUGACGCUGAUGCGCGAAAGCGUGGGGAGCAAACAGGAUUAGAUACCCCGGUAGUC
rnacentral:rRNA from 1 species